UCGAAGAUAAAAAAUAUCCAUGCCUCACGAGUUAAAAUUUCUGAAUCCGGAUAGUAUAUUCAAUUUUUAAUAGGCGAUUGAGUUUUUCGAACAGUUUGCUAGCAAAUCAAAGGAUAUUAAGAAUCUUGCCCGUGCAUUGAUGUCGAAAGAUGCAAUGGAUUUUGUGAUGCAUGCUAGCCUCAUACCAUGGAUCAAAUAAUCCAAAAUUUGUCUAAUAUAACAUGGCCAAUGACAAUACUACUGAUGUACUCUUAUGCUCUCUCGGGGUCGUGAGGAGGUAACCUUAUUUGUACAUUUCUUGGUUGGGUUAAAAUUAAUAAGGUAGCUUAGCUGGAUGUGGUGGUGUCAUUAGCGAUAGUAACGGUGAUUGGCUUGGUGGAUUCGCAAAACAUAUUGAAGGAUGUAGAGCUUUUAUAUAGCGGAAUAUUUAUGAUGUGUUUUGGAGGGGUUGCAAUGUGCUUGGAGAUUGGGGUAUAGAGCAAUGGAAUUAAGCAUCGAUGGCGAUUGCUCAUGUUAUUAACUUUGGUGCGACUAAUAGUGCUAUGGAAAUCUCUUUGGUUAAGAACGUUGGAAGAAUGAUCUCGAUUGGGAAGUUAUAAUUUCUCUUUCGUAUAGUGAAGCGAAUAAAUGCACAAAUGUUUUGGCUAAUAUGAAUAGCUCUUUAAAUUGUAAUAUUAGCUUGUUUGAGAAUUGUCCAGGUCAAAUUAAUCAUGUUUUGUUGGGUGAUAGAGUGGGGAUUUGUUUAAUUGUGAUGUAAUUUUUUUUUUAAGGCUUACACCCUCAUUAUUAUCAACAAAAAAAAUCAAUGUAUUAUUGUGGGCUAUAAUAUGGGGUAUUGUAAAUGCUCCAAAAACAAUUGUUUCUUUAGGUGAUUUUUAUUACACCUAGUAGAUACUGAUGACAAGGAAGAUCCCAAUUCAGUUACUUAGAGUAAUUUUACUAGCUUACUGAUUGCUAUUAGUGUGUUUAACCACUACUUUGGUCUUUGUAUUAGCUUAACCUUAGUUCCUAAACUCCUCUAUAUAUGGAGCUUGUGUAAUCAUAAUUCAACUAAUGGAUCAUUUCAUUCUCAUAAUAAUUUUUCAGUUUGAAACUCACACACAUUCAAAGUGGAAAUG
rnacentral:lncRNA from 1 species